rnacentral:rRNA from 1 species
UACAGAGGUGGCAAGCGUUGUUCGGAAUUACUGGGCGUAAAGGGCGCGUAGGCGGCCUUCUAAGUCAGACGUGAAAUCCCCCGGCUUAACCUGGGAACUGCGUCUGAUACUGGGAGGCUUGAGUAUGGGAGAGGGAUGUAGAAUUCCAGGUGUAGCGGUGAAAUGCGUAGAUAUCUGGAGCAACACCGGUGGCGAAGGCGGCAUCCUGGACCGAGAUUGACGCUGAGGCGCGAAAGCCAGGGGAGCAAACAGG